rnacentral:rRNA from 1 species
GACGAACGCUGGCGGCGUGCCUAAUACAUGCAAGUCGAGCGAAGUUUUUCUGGUGCUUGCACUAGAAAAACUUAGCGGCGAACGGGUGAGUAACACGUAAAGAACCUGCCUCAUAGACUGGGACAACUAUUGGAAACGAUAGCUAAUACCGGAUAACAGCAUUAACUGCAUGGUUGAUGUUUAAAAGUUGGUUUUGCUAACACUAUGAGGUGGCUUUGCGGUGCAUUAGCUAGUUGGUGGGGUAAAGGCCUACCAAGGCGACGAUGCAUAGCCGACCUGAGAGGGUGAUCGGCCACACUGGGACUGAGACACGGCCCAGACUCCUACGGGAGGCAGCAGUAGGGAAUCUUCCGCAAUGGGCGAAAGCCUGGCGGAGCAACGCCGCGUGAGUGAAGAAGGAUUUCGGUUCGUAAAGCUCUGUUGUUAGGGAAGAGUGAUUGUGUAGUAACUAUACACAGUAGAGACGGUACCUAACCAGAAAGCCACGGCUAACUACGUGCCAGCAGCCGCGGUAAUACGUAGGUGGCAAGCGUUGUCCGGAAUUAUUGGGCGUAAAGCGCGCGCAGGUGGUUUAAUAAGUCUGAUGUGAAAGCCCACGGCUCAACCGUGGAGGGUCAUUGGAAACUGUUAAACUUGAGUGCAGGAGAGAAAAGUGGAAUUCCUAGUGUAGCGGUGAAAUGCGUAGAGAUUAGGAAGAACACCAGUGGCGAAGGCGGCUUUUUGGCCUGUAACUGACACUGAGGCGCGAAAGCGUGGGGAGCAAACAGG